GUGUUAAAGCCAAAGUUGAGUUGCAAGUCAUCAUAUUUGUGACUCGAGUCUGACUCGAGUCCAAGUCAUGUGACUCGAGUCCACACCUCUGUGAAACGCUGAGACAGGAGGAAGGGAGGGCACCGUUUGGAUAGAACAAGCCAGUGACAAUGCUACAGCCGAUUAUCAGCACAAAAUGUCAUCACUGAAAGAGCACACCCUACAUCUCAAGCAAAAAACAACAUCAGCAACGCACUCACCAUCUUUUGUUAUGUGACAUGGAAAGGAAAGUAAAGGGGCGUACCUAGUCAGUUGUACAACUGAAUGCGGACAUGAUGCCAUUGCGUGAAGACGCACACCAUUUUUUCCCUGUUCGGACCAUUCUGCCUGCCUGCCAUCCUGUACCUGCCUGACUCUGACCUGAUCACGAACCUCUGCCUGCCCUUGACCUGCCCUUUGCCUGCCCCAUGUUUCUAAUAAAUCAUCUGAGAACU